UACGAAGGCCCCGAGCGUUAUCCGGAUUUAUUGGGCGUAAAGCGUUCAACGGUGGCUCUGCACGUCUCCGGUUAAAUCUCAUGGCUCAACCAUGAGGCUGCCGGUGAUACGACAGAGCUUGAGGACGGGAGAGGUACACGGAAUUGCCGGUGUAGCGGUAAAAUGCGUUAAUAUCGGCAAGAACACCAAUAGCGAAGGCAGUGUACUGGAACGAUCCUGACACUAAAAGAACGAAAGCGUGGGGAGCGAAUGGG
rnacentral:rRNA from 1 species